UACGUAGGGUGCGAGCGUUAAUCGGAAUUACUGGGCGUAAAGCGUGCGCAGGCGGUUCUCCAAGUCCGUUGUGAAAGCCCCGGGCUCAACCUGGGAAUGGCAGUGGAAACUAGGGGACUUGAAUCUGGCAGAGGGGGGUGGAAUUCCACGGUGUAGCAGUGAAAUGCGUAGAGAUGUGGAGGAACACCGAUGGCGAAGGCGGCAUCCUGGACCAACACUGACGCUGAGGAACGAAGGCCAGGGGAGCGAACGGG
rnacentral:rRNA from 1 species